CUGAACCCUGCCCCCAAGAGACAUUGUGACAUAUCACUGGGUCCAGCUUCCAGGUAAUGUAACAGUCCUGCCUUGGCCCUGCCCACAAGGGGCAUUGUGACAUAUUGCUGAGCCCAGUACCUAGGUGAUAUGACUCUCCUGAAUUGCCCCUGCACUCAGGGGAGACUUUUGACCCUGCCCAAAGUGGCAAUUGUGACAUAUCUUUGGCCAGCACCCAGGAGAUCCAAACUUUGUUCCUGGUCUCUCUCCACAGUUGGAAUUGGGAACUACACAUGGGCACAGCUUACAGGUGGAAUGAUGACUCACACCUGAAGAUAUUUUGACCUUUGUAGUCUUAGGGCAAAAACUAAGGUCCUGUGUCUUCAACUUGUAGGAUGGUCACGGAAUAUUACAACUUGCAUGCACGUUGAAUGAAGCCCUCAAAUGCUACAAAGAGUGCCAAAAUAGAGCCCAGCUAAAACUGUGGUAAAACUGUGGCUGUUGUAUGCAAACUCAAAUAAAAGUAAGGAUUAUCAGCCUUCCACAUUAACAGAACCCACUGUUGAGGUUCUGAAUCGCUCACCAAGAGGCAAUCAAGUUGGAAUUGUGACUCUCAUGCAUCAAUCCAAUCGACAGAUGAGAUGAUAACACCAAGUCCAGGAUUUAGAACACCUGGGGGCUGUGCUUCCCCUAUCAAAACACAGUCUGUUGGUGAGAUUUGGGCUCUCGUGCAUUGAUUUAGUCCACUGUUGUGACUGACUUGCAUAGUUGAACUCAAACCCACAAGAGGUGUUGACUCUUAUACCUUUAGCAGGAAAAUGUCCCGGAUUGUGAAUUUCUGCUAUUGACCGGGUCCAGCUGGAUCCAGGUAUGAGAGUCAUCAUCUCACCUGUGAGCUGUGACCAUGUAUAUGUCGCAAUUUCACCUGUCAUCAGGAAGCAGACAUGAGAGUCCUAUCACCUGGGUGCUGGAUGAAAAAAGAUGCAAAGAAGACAUAUUUGCUUUUUAUCCACACAUCAUUUCCAAUCACUAUGCUGAGCAAAGUCAAUGUGAGCAGAGCUGAGAAUAGCAGUUUUCUGGCAGGACGGCCACUUCUGAGCAAAAAAUGACACAAUAAAAGUAUAAAUAUUUAAUAGUAAGCUAAUAUAUUUUCAGCAAAUUAAGCAUAUGCAUUAAUAAAAUUAUUGUGGUA
rnacentral:lncRNA from 1 species